rnacentral:rRNA from 1 species
AUUGAACGCUGGCGGCAGGCCUAACACAUGCAAGUGGGGCGAGCGCCGGACGGGUGAGAAAGGUCUGGGGAUUAGCUUGAGGGAGGGGGAAAACUACUGGAAACGGUAGCAAAUACCGCAUACCACAAGAUGAACCCAUAUGGGAUUAGCUUGUAGGUGAGGUAACGGCUCACCUAGGCGACGAUCCCUAGCUGGUCUGAGGGGAUGAUCAGCCACACUGGGACUGAGACACGGCCCAGACUCCUACGGGAGGCAGCAGUGGGGAAUAUUGCACAAUGGGCGCAAGCCUGAUGCAGCCAUGCCGCGUGUAUGAAGAAGGCCUUCGGGUUGUAAAGUACUUUCAGUCGGGAGGCGUUACCGACAGAAGAAGCACCGGCUAACUCCGUGCCAGCAGCCGCGGUAAUUC